GGCGGGGUAGUUCAGCCCGGUAGAACAGGCGGCUCAUAACCGCGAUGUCGGAGGUUCAAAUCCUUCCCCCGCAA
rnacentral:tRNA from 1 species